rnacentral:lncRNA from 1 species
GUGAGUCCAUUUGCGUGUCAUUGUUGUUGAUAGUGUCAAAGCCACAGCCUACGCUUCUGCCUCUGUGAUUGCCAGCCAGGGACAAUAAACUGGUGUCAUCUCAGAUAUUGUAUGUCGUUUGUGUUUAGUGUAGGGGCGGCAGGAAGCCUAGCGCCAGUUAGCCUAGCGGUUAGAGCAGGUAGCCUUGUGGUUAGAGCAGGUAGCCUAGUGGCAGGUAGCCUAGCGGUUAGAGCAGGUAGCCUAGCGGUUAGAGCAGGUUACCUAGUGGUUAGAGGCAGGUAGCCUAGUGGUUAGAGCAGGUAGCCUAGUGGUUAGAGGCAGGUAACCUAGUGGUUAGAGCAGGUAGCCUAGUGGUUAGAGCAGGUAGCCUAGUGGUUAGAGGCAGGUAACCUAGUGGUUAGAGCAGGUAGCCUAGUGGUUAGAGCAGGUAGCCUAGUGGUUAGAGCAGGUAGCCUAGUGGUUAGAGGCAGGUAGCCUAGUGGUUAGAGGCAGGUAGCCUAGUGGUUAGAGCAGGUAGCCUAGUGGUUAGAGGCAGGUAGCCUAGUGGUUAGAGGCAGGUAGCCUAGUGGUUAGAGGCAGGUAACCUAGUGGUUAGAGGCAGGUAGCCUAGU